AGAGGAUUGGCUGAGUGGUUUAUAGCGGUAAGCUUGAAACUUAUUUAAUUACGAUUACAUCAGUUCGAAUCUGAUAUCCUCUG
rnacentral:tRNA from 1 species